GACGAACGCUGGCGGCGUGCUUAACACAUGCAAGUCGAGCGGUAAGGCCCUUUCGGGGGUACACGAGCGGCGAACGGGUGAGUAACACGUGGGUGACCUGCCCUCAGCUCUGGGAUAAGCCCGGGAAACUGGGUCUAAUACUGGAUAUGACUCCACGGUGCAUGUCGUGGGGUGGAAAGCCUUGUGCGGCUGAGGAUGGGCCCGCGGCCUAUCAGCUUGUUGGUGGGGUGAUGGCCACCAAGGCGACGACGGGUAGCCGGCCUGAGAGGGCGACCGGCCACACUGGGACUGAGACACGGCCCAGACUCCUACGGGAGGCAGCAGUGGGGAAUCUUGCGCAAUGGCCGAAAGGCUGACGCAGCGACGCCGCGUGUGGGAGGAAGCUCUUCGGGGUGUAAACCACUGUUGCCCGGGACGAACACACUCUUUUGAGAGUGCUGACGGUACCGGGUGAGGAAGCACCGGCUAACUCUGCGCCAGCCGCCGCGGU
rnacentral:rRNA from 1 species